rnacentral:rRNA from 1 species
GACAGAGGGGGCAAGCGUUGCUCGGAAUUACUGGGCGUAAAGGGCGCGUAGGCGGGAUGGCAAGUCGGUCGUGAAAUCCUUCGGCUCAACCGAAGAACGUCGAUCGAUACUGCUGUUCUUGAGGGUUGCAGAGGAGACUGGAAUUCCCGGUGUAGCGGUGAAAUGUGUAGAGAUCGGGAGGAACACCGGUGGCGAAGGCCGGUCUCUGGGCAAUUCCUGACGCUGAGGCGCGAAAGCGUGGGGAGCAAACGGG